UUGCUGCUUUUAAAUUUUAUUCUGCUUUGUCAAAGUCUCCAGGAUCCCCAUUCCAAUUUAUGGCAUUUUAAAUAUACCUUGUUAGUGUACAUUUUGGACAAUGUUAACAUAAUUUCAGGUAUUGAGGACAAGUGAAGAAUCUGCUUAAGUCCUUAGGAGAAGCUAAAAAGACUAUUAACAACCCAAGUCCAUAAAAAACAUCUGUUCCAGUCAUGCUGGUGAUUUUUUAUUAGUCCUUCAAAUCCGUAACAAAGAUCUCUAGAGCAAGACAAAUGUUCUAGUGGAGUGCAAUUUCCAAUUUCUUAGCUAACCUGAUUUUGUUGAUUCAUACAUAUGCAUGAUUCAAUGCUGCUCCUGAAUACAAAAAAAAAAAAAAAAAAAGAAAGAAAGAAAGAAAGAAAAGGAAAGGAAAGAAGCCUUCUUUGGGGCUCUUUUAUAUUAUUUAUAUUCCUUGAAAUGCCCUUGAAAUUUCAUUUGCUAAGGGAAGCUAAACAAAUAAUUGCAUACUAAAAGGGAAAUGGGUCUAGCAAGCUAGAUAAUUUGUAACAUCAAAUAUUCUUUUUCCAUGGUUAACAUUUUCUCUGUGAGGAAACAUGAGGAGUAAACAGACCAAUGUAUCUUAAGUGCAAUAACUAAUAACAAUGCCAAAUGCAUGAAGUGGAAAUACCUCAGGAUACACUUCCACAGGCCGCUUCAUCAUAGCUGAAUGCAAUAUGCUACAACAAUAAUAGGAGUCACGCUUGUCAUAUUUCUCUUGAUCUCUAAAGAAGGAUGCCAAUGCCAUAGUAAUGCACCUUGCUUCUCUUUCUGGCUAUCAAUAUUCUUCGUUUUUUGUUUGUUUGUUUUUGUUUUGGGGUUUUUUGUUGUUGUUGUUGUUGUUAUUGGGGCCUAUUACAUAGUUUGAAAAGUUUUCUCUGAAAACAAACUUGACAAUUCUCUGAGGCCAAUGUAAUGAGGCAGUCACUAGCACUUAGUUCAAAAUCAAUCAUGACCACGACUGGAAGGAGUGGGUAAAAUAUAUCAGACAUUACUUGGGAUUUAUAGCAUUGUUCUCUGUGGAAAGGCAGAAAGGCAGUGUGAGGAUGGAACUUAAUUUCUCUGACAUGACACUCAAUGUCUUCAACUCCACCACCAGAAGAGUUUGCAUGGUGAGACACACUUCUCAUUGAUUCCAAACUGAGAAGUGUCUGGAAAAUGAAGUUCAUAAUCAUUUAAAUGAGUAGGUUUGAAUUGGGCAAUAGCUUGAUGAACAGUCUAUAUGUCUGUUUCCAAACAGAUUUUUCUAUUUAUAUAAGAAGGAACUAUAUUUUAAUGCUCAAACUUUAUGGUAAGAUGAGAGUUCUGAGUACUAAAAAGAACACGAGGACAGAG
rnacentral:lncRNA from 1 species